AGAGUCUCAUUUGACAUUAAUGGAAUUGGAAGCUGGAAGUUUCUUUGGUUGUUUGGGACCUGAAGCAGCUGGCAUGGAAAUGAAGAGGGACCCAGCAUCAUCUGAAAUAAAUCCGGAUGAUCACCCAAAUAAACUACCUGCAUGGAAAGCUGUCUGAGGGAACCAAAACUAAGAUGGCACAUACAUGAGUUUGGAUUGUACACUGAGGGCAGUGACAACUGAUGAGGUACUGACUAAACUAUAGUUCACAGUGUUCUUCUAGAGAUCUGAGCUAUCUUGCUCUUGCCUUUCCACCAUCAGUGUUAGAGUUUGAAUCCAAUCAGAGCAGCAAGUGCCAUGCCUCAUUCUCCACAGUUACUCCCAGAGCAGCACCAGGCACAGUGGGCUCCCUCCAGCCUCCCCUCCACAACAGCCUCCUCACCUUGCUUCCCACCAGGAGUGAUGGCUAUGAAGCUGGCACCCUAGAGGCCUUGGUUACCCAGAGACAUGUUGGCUGCUUGGAAAUGCCUGAAGUUUAAGCAUCCAAUCCUGCAGAGGGCAUCACUUCUGUAAUAGAAAACAUCUAGAAGAGGUGAAGCUCUGGACAACACCUGACUGACUGCCUGUGAGUUCUGAGCCCGGGGAUCAAAGUUCAAAGAUCAAAGUUCAAAGCCUCAGCAACCUAACUUCUGCAGGAUCACUGAGAAAGCCCUGGAAAAGACCCCCAAAGACUGCACUGCUUCUAUCAAGAGAAUCCUAAACUCUCUACCUUGCCCAUGAACACCUGUGCCUAUGGACAUGCUGAGGAGGCCCAGAACAAGUCAAGAAGCAAUAAGAACAGGCAGCAGGACAAAUGGCAGCAAGGCCUUGAGCACCGCUCUUGGAACUACUUCAGAAAGAGUGAGAGUCCAAGCUGGCAUUAUGGUAGAAGUGGAGCCGAGUCCCUGACACUCUUGUGUAACGUUCUGCUCCCUUCUCGCGAGACGUAGUCAGAAUAAACAGACUGAACACACUG